UACGGAGGGUGCGAGCGUUGUCCGGAAUCGCUGGGCGUAAAGGGCGCGUAGGCGGCCUGGUAAGUAGGGGGUGAAAUCCUGCGGCUUAACCGCAGGGCUGCCUUCUAAACUGUCAGGCUCGAGCACGGUAGAGGCAGAUGGAAUUCCCGGUGUAGCGGUGGAAUGCGUAGAGAUCGGGAAGAACAUCAGUGGCGAAGGCGGUCUGCUGGGCCGUUGCUGACGCUGAGGCGCGACAGCGUGGGGAGCAAACAGG
rnacentral:rRNA from 1 species